GUGCCUGGUGGCCAUGACAGGCUCGGCGAGGGGUGGCCGGACAGGAGGCCGCGGCCGUCGCUCCCCCCCGCGCUGGGGCCUGGGCCCUGCUUCCCCCCGUGCUGACCCGCCGGGCCACCUACGGCGGACUGCGGUGAGCCUGCCUCGGCCCCUGUAGACGCUGGCAUGAGGCGGGCGGCUAUAGCGGAGGGGAGGCUGCCCUCAGGAAAGCACCAGAGACAUGAGGGAGCCCUAGCGCCUUCAGGCACUGUCAGCUCCACACCUGGGAUGGUACAGGAGCCGACCACCGUGGGUGGGAACGAGUUUUGGUUUUUCAGCCAUACACCCAUGCACCAAAGCAGCAUGUAGCACAGCCACAAGACCAGUUCCCAUCAGCGCCCAGCCUGCAGGGGUGAGAACACUGAAGUGAUGAUGCAUUUGCUGCAAAAAGAACUGUUUUCAGUGCCUGGAAAUAGGACAAGCAGUGAUGGAUUCAAGUAGCAGCAAGGAAGAUAAUUUUUUUUUAAGACACAAGUCUUUCAGAGCUACUCCCUUCCACAAUAGCGGAAGUCAAAAAGUACUGCAGCAAAACCAGGUAAGGUGAGAGCUGGUAUUUGAUGCAUUUCUAACAAAGGCCCUUUGACCUUUAAAAACCUUAAAAAACUGACAGCUCCCUCCCAGUCUUCUCUGCCAGCUGUUUGUUACUGCAAAGGAAAAAACAAAGUUUACCCACAGAAAACUCUUAAGUCCAAUUUCCAUACUAUAGGAGUGAUAGCAGUAUUGCAUUCACAACUGCAAAGCAGGCUGAUAAAGUGAUUCUGUGUGUAUUUUGCCACAAAAAGAAAUAUCUAGAUUUUCAGGGAUCAGGGGAUUCAGAGCUUCCCAAGAUAAGGCAAAGCUUAAAAAAAGACUGGGCUUCAGUUUUCAUGCUGGGUUACCAUAUAGAAAUUUGAUAGAGAAAGCUACCCAUAAGUUAGCUCAAACAAAGAUUCAGAUCACAUGAGAACACCACCAGGUAGUUGUUGUAAGAAG